AAAAAUGUUACGCAGAAAAUGAUCAAUCAUCAAUGGGCAUCUCUGAAUCAUCUUCCGCGAAUCCUCGCUUUGCUUCCUCCAACAGGUCUAUUUUCCAAUUUCUACUAGAAAUACUUGUAGAACAUGAAUGUUAAAAGCUCCAUGGAGUUAAUUGCAAAGCGUUCUCUCGGAACGAAUUGGAAGAUCUGAUAUCACUCUUCACAUCACUUGCAGCUCAGUCUCAUACCAACGGAAAAUAUGUGACUCCCUCCAUUUUCAAGGUCCCAUUAAUUUCUUCGACGCCUUAAUCGUGACCAGUCUUAAAUUUCAUCGGAUAAUUUAGGUGGGUUAUAUAUGAUUCCUGUUUUUAUGUCUGAAUAUGUGUUAAUAGGCUUAUAUUGGAAUUGAUGGGCCUCUUAGGGAUCGGAUGUCCGACUUGAUGACGCAUAAACUCAAGGAUCAAAAGCUCAGUUUUGAGGACUCGUUAUUGUCGAAGUUAGCUCACUUUUUCUUUUCUUUUUUUAACUAUUAAUUUUUGAAGCACCAUGUUUACUAUUAGUCGAACUUAUAUGUUGAGUGUGUAAUUUUAACAUUUUAUUUUGAGGGUGGUAUUUAACGAUUAAUCAAUUAAAUUACUUUCUGGAAUAAUUUAAAUAUCUAGGCAACACAAGCAAUCUUUGUCGUAGAAUCUUUUCCCAUGACAAGUUAUCUUGACGUGUUAGUAUUUUUCAACAUGUUUUAUGAAUAGUAACGAUAGGAGGAAGACUUUUGUAGCUUAAGAAAUAGAAGAGUAUCCAAAGUUUGGUGCAUUGCUGCUGAGAAAUGUUGAAUCUUAAGUGUGAGAAUUAAG
rnacentral:lncRNA from 1 species